AGCAGCCGCGGUAAUUCCAGCUCCAAUAGCGUAUAUUAAAGUUGUUGCAGUUAAAAAGCUCGUAGUUGAAUUUCGGGAUCAAUUAAUCGGUCGUGCCUCUGGUACGCACUGGUUUUAUUGGUUUCUCCCUUCUGACGAACCAGGAUGUCAUUAAUUUGGUGUCUUGGAGAAUCAGGACUGUUACUUUGAAAAAUUAGAGUGUUUAAAGCAGGCUAACGCUUGAAUACAUUAGCAUGGAAUAAUGAAAUAGGACGUUUGAUCCUAUUUUGUUGGUUUCUAGGAUCGACGUAAUGAUUAAUAGGGAUAGUUGGGGGCAUUAGUAUUCAAUUGUCAGAGGUGAAAUUCUUGGAUUUAUUGAAGACUAACUACUGCGAAAGCAUUUGCCAAGGAUGUUUUCAUUAAUCAAGAACGAAAGUUAGGGGAUCGAAGACGAUCAGAUACCGUCGUAGUCUUAACCAUAAACUAUGC
rnacentral:misc_RNA from 1 species